rnacentral:rRNA from 1 species
GACGUAGGGCGCGAGCGUUGUCCGGAAUUAUUGGGCGUAAAGAGCUCGUAGGCGGUCUGUCGCGUCGGCUGUGAAAACUCGGGGCUCAACCCCGAGCCUGCAGUCGAUACGGGCAGACUAGAGUGCUGUAGGGGAGACUGGAAUUCCCGGUGUAGCGGUGAAAUGCGCAGAUAUCGGGAGGAACACCGGUGGCGAAGGCGGUUCUCUGGGCCUGACCUGACGCUGAGGAGCGAAAGCGUGGGGAGCGAACAGG